CUCGGACCAGCUACUAAUCAUUGCCUUGGUAAGCUAUUGCCUUACCAACUAGCAAAUCAGACGCGAGCCCCUCCUCUGGCGGAUUCCUCCUUUAGCUCCUCAGUCUACGGGGUAUUAGCAGCCGUUCCCCUCCCAAGGGCAGGUUUUUACGCGUUACUCACCCGUCUGCCACUGGAAACACCGUUUCCCAUGUUUUUCAUCCGACUUGCAUGUGUUAAGCAUGCCGCCAGUGUUCAUCUUGAUCCAGGAUCGAACUCCCUAUGAGAUUCACAAUUGCAUUACUUAUAGCUUCCUUGUUCGUAGACAAAGCGGAUUCAAAAUUGUCUUUCAUUCCAAGGCAUAACUUGUAUCCAUGAUCUUUAUAUUCGCCCGGAGUUCUCUCCCAGAAAUAUAGCCAUCCCUACCCCCUUACAUCAAUCCCACAAGCCUCUUAUCUAUUCUCAUUGAAAGACGGCGGGGGAGCAAAUCUAACUAGAAAAACUCAUAUUGGGUUUAGGGAUAAUCAGGCUCAAACUGAUGACUUCCACCACGUCAAUGUGACACUCUGCCGCUGAGUUAUAUCCCUUCCCUACCCCAUCGAGAAAUAGAAUUGACUAAUCCUAAGUCAAAGGGUCGAGAAACUCAACGCCACUAUUUUUGAACAACUUGGAGCCGGGGCCUUCUUUUCGCACUAUUAUGGAUAUGAAAAUAAUGGUCAAAAUCGGAUUCAAUUGUCAAUUGCCCCUAUCGGAACUAGGAUUUACUACCGAUUUCGAAGGAACGAACUGGAGUUACAUCUUUUUUCCAUUCAAGAGUUCUUCUGUAUUUCUACGCCCCAUUGAGACCCCAAAAAAUGGACAAAUUCCUUUUCUUAGGAACACAUACAAGAUUCGUCACUAUAAAAAGGAUAAUGGUAACCCUACAAUUAACAGCCGAGCCCCUCUUCUCCUCGAUCCACAGAGACAAAAUGUAGGACUGGUGCCAAAAGUUCAUCACGAAAGAAAGGACUCACUAAGUUGGGAUCACUAACUAAUACUAAUCUAAUAUAAUAGUCUAAUAUAUCUAAUAUACUAAUAUAACUAAUAUAAUAGAAAAUACUAAUAUAAUAGAAAAGAACUGUCUUUUCUGUAUACUUUCCCUGGUUCCGUUGCUACCGCAGGAUUUAUGCAAUCGACCGAAUGAGAUAGAUAUCCCUUCAACAUAGUUCAUCAGAAGGAUCUCGGAGACCCACCAAAGUACGAAAGCCAGGAUCUUUCAGAAAAUGGAUUCGUAUUCAAAGAGUGCAUAACCCCAUGGAUAAUCUCACACUAACCCGUCAAUUUGGGAUCCAAAUUUGAGAUUUUCCCUGGGAGGUAUCAGGAAGGGUUUGGAAUGGAAUAAUAUCGAUUCAUAUAGAAGAAAGGGUUCUCUAUUGAUUCAAAAACUGUAUCUAUGGAAUAGGGAUCGAGGAAGGGGAAAACCCAAGAUUUCACAUGGUACUUUUAUCAAUCUGAUUUAUUUCGUACCUUUCGUUCAAUGAGAAAAUGGGUCAAAUUCUAGAGGAUCAAACCUAUGGGACUUAAGGAAUGAUAUAAAAAAAGAGAGGGAAAAUAUUCAUAUUAAAUAAAUAUGAAGUAGAAGAACCCAGAUUCCAAAUGAACAAAUUCAAACCUGAAAAGGAUCUUGAGGUACCUCAAAGGUUAUCUUGGCAAAGGGAUUGAUCAAGAAAGAUCUUUUGUUCUUCUUAUAUAUAAGAUCGUGAUUCGAUCCACAUAUGUUUGGUAAAGAGAAUAAUCUUAUCCUUUGAGAAUAAUAAAAAAUCGACAGUGUUCAAUUAGAACAUGAAAACAUGACUAAAUUGGUCCUAGUUACUCUUCGGGGCAGAGUGGAAGAAGGGGGGAUUCUCGAAUGCGGAAAAGGAUCCAAUAAUUUCAAAAGAAUUGAACGAGCAGCUGUAUGAGGUGAAAAUCUCAUGUACGGUUCUGCAGAGUGGCAGUAAGGGUGACUUAUCUGUCAACUUUUCUACUAUCACUCCAAAAAAACCAAACUCUGCCUUACGUAAAGUUCCUAGAGUACGAUUGACCUCUGGAUUUGAAAUCACUUCUUAUAUACCCGGUAUUGGCCAUAAUUCACAAGAACAUUCUGUAGUCUUAGUAAGAGGGGGAAGGGUUAAGGAUUUACCCGGUGUGAGAUAUCACAUUGUUCGAGGAACCCUAGAUGCUGUCGGAGUAAAGGAUCGUCAACAAGGGCGUUCUAGUGCGUUGUAGAUUCUUAUCCAGGACUUGUAUCAUUUGAUGAUGCCAUGUGAAUCGCUAGAAACAUGUGAAGUGUAUGGCUAACCCAAUAACGAAAGUUUCGUAAGGGGACUGGAGCAGGCUACCAUGAGACAAAAGAUCUUCUUUCUAAAGAGAUUCGAUUCGGAACUCUUAUAUGUCCAAGGUUCAAUAUUGAAAUAAUUUCAGAGGUUUUCCCUGAAUUUGUCCAUGUCAACAAAUAAUUUGAAAUACCUCGACUUUUUUAAAAUAGGUCUGAGUCAAAUAGC
rnacentral:lncRNA from 1 species